UACAGAGGUGGCAAGCGUUGUUCGGAAUUACUGGGCGUAAAGCGUGCGCAGGCGGUUUUGUAAGUCUGACGUGAAAUCCCCGGGCUCAACCUGGGAAUUGCGUUGGAGACUGCAAGGCUGGAGUCUGGCAGAGGGGGGUAGAAUUCCACGUGUAGCAGUGAAAUGCGUAGAGAUGUGGAGGAACACCGAUGGCGAAGGCAGCCCCCUGGGUCAAGACUGACGCUCAUGCACGAAAGCGUGGGGAGCAAACAGG
rnacentral:rRNA from 1 species